rnacentral:sRNA from 1 species
ACAACAACAAUAAAAACGCAGAACCUCAAUAACAACAAAACGUAGCGACUCUGAUCAAAUAACAACAAAACGGCAGAGGCGUAGCUAGCAGAUUCUUUUGAAGUUGAUGUACGGCGCAGGGCCAGUCCCGCAACCGGUUCGAACAAUAAAACUGUCUACCAAGCAGACCUGUUCCGGUUGAAUCACCUAGGUGAUCGCAGCGACAUCAGUGAUCAAAACAAUACGUUCGCUCUUGAUUCCGGUUGGAAUCGACAUUUGGCAAGCAAAUGCCCGGGGAACGAUAAAAAUAACAAGCGUUCAUCGUGUAGAACAAAAAUAUGCAGCACCGAUAGGGGAGCCCAGAAGGCUCCCCUUUUUAUU